GACGAACGCUGGCGGCGUGGAUUAGGCAUGCAAGUCGAACGGUAUCAUCCUUUCGGGGGUGAGAGAGUGGCGAACUGGUGAGUAACACGUAGGUUAUCUACCCUCAAGACGGGGACAACCCAGGGAAACUUGGGCUAAUACCGGAUGUGAGCAACUUUUAGUUGUUUGAAAGGUGGCGUAAGCUGUCGCUUGGGGAUGAGCCUGCGUCCUAUUAGUUAGUUGGUGAGGUAACGGCUCACCUAGGCAAUGAUAGGUAGGCGGCCUUAACGGGUGGUCGCCCACACUGGGAUUGAGAUACGGCCCAGACUCCUACGGGAGGCAGCAGUCGAGAAUAGUCUACAAUGGACGAAAGUCUGAUAGUGCGACGCCGCGUGAACGAAGAAUCCUUUCGGGGUGUAAAGUUCUUUUCUAUGUGAGCAGUUCCUUUUAUAUGAAGAGUAUAGAAGGUGGGAUUUAAGCAUAGGAAUAAGCAACGGCUAACUCCGUG
rnacentral:rRNA from 1 species